rnacentral:rRNA from 1 species
GUGCCAGCAGCCGCGGUAAUACAGAGGGUGCAAGCGUUAAUCGGAUUAACUGGGCGUAAAGCGCGCGUAGGCGGCCAAUUAAGUCAAGUGUGAAAUCCCCGAGCUUAACUUGGGAAUUGCAUUCGAUACUGGUUGGCUAGAGUGUCGGAGAGGAUGGUAGAGUUCCAGGUGUAGCGGUGAAAUGCGUUGAGAUCUGGAGGAAUACCGAUGGCGAAGGCAGCCAUCUGGCCUAACACUGACGCUGAGGUGCGAAAGCAUGGGGAGCAAACAGGAUUAGAAACCCCGGUAGUCC